CUGCAACUCGCCUGCAUGAAGCUGGAAUUGCUAGUAAUCGCGGAUCAGCAAGCCGCGGUGAAUACGUUCCCGGGUCUUGUACACACCGCCCGUCACACCAUGGGAGUCGGAAAUGCCCGAAGUCGGUGACCCAACCGUUUAUGGAGGGAGCUGCCGAAGGCAGGUCUGGUGACUGGGGUGAAGUCGUAACAAGGUACC
rnacentral:rRNA from 1 species